GUGGCUGAGGGUGGGAUUAAAGAGCUGAGGUCUAUGGUGAUAGGUGGGAUGGGCUGAGAGUGGCAGAGGGGUGGGAUUAAAGAGUUGAGGUCUAUGGUGAUAGGUGGGAUGGGCUGAGAGUGGCUGAGGGGUGGGAUUAAAGAGCUGAGGUAUAUGGUGAUAGGUGGGAUGGGCUGAGAGUGGCUGAGGGGUGGGAUUAAAGAGCUG